CUUCCGGUAUAUCACAUGAAGACUCCAAGAAAAAUUUAAACGAAGACAAAAUAAAUAAAAAAGAUCAUAGUAAAAGAGUCUUUUGUUUCCUUUGAAGUAAAGAAAAAGCGAUCGUCAUGUCGUGAUGAAGAAUCUAAUGAUUCUUUGUCCUCAUCUGCGAAAAUAAAGAAGAUAUUGACCUCUAAAUGUAAACCAGGGAAACGAAACGAAAUGAUAAAGAAUUCUAGUGUGUCACAUGAAAACUCCAG
rnacentral:lncRNA from 1 species